AUUGAACGCUGGCGGCAGGCUUAACACAUGCAAGUCGAACGGUAACAGGCCUUCGGAUGCUGACGAGUGGCGAACGGGUGAGUAAUACAUCGGAACGUGCCCGAUCGUGGGGGAUAACGGAGCGAAAGCUUUGCUAAUACCGCAUACGAUCUACGGAUGAAAGCAGGGGACCGCAAGGCCUUGCGCGGACGGAGCGGACGAUGGCAGAUUAGGUAGUUGGUGGGAUAAAAGCUUACCAAGCCGACGAUCUGUAGCUGGUCUGAGAGGACGACCAGCCACACUGGGACUGAGACACGGCCCAGACUCCUACGGGAGGCAGCAGUGGGGAAUUUUGGACAAUGGGCGAAAGCCUGAUCCAGCCAUGCCGCGUGCAGGAUGAAGGCCUUCGGGUUGUAAACUGCUUUUGUACGGAACGAAAAGCCUCUUUCUAAUAAAGAGAGGUCAUGACGGUACCGUAAGAAUAAGCACCGGCUAACUACGUGCCAGCAGCCGCCGUAAUAC
rnacentral:rRNA from 1 species